CAAAAGCUUAUUUCAAAAUGGGGCUCAUAGACCUGAUGCUGAUUUUAAUGACACUGUAUAUCUUUGGUGUUUCUGCAGAAAUAAAGCUGCAGGAAUCUGAUCCUGUAACUCUACAGCCCGGACAGUCACACCAGUUGUCGUGUAAAGCCUCAGGGUUCACUUUCAGUGACUACUACAUGCACUGGGUUCGUCAACCUCCUGGUAAAGGACUGGAAUGGGUGGCAGCAAUCGAUGAUGAUGGCAGCAGCCAGUGGUAUGCAACAUCUGUUGAGGGACGAUUUACCAUCACCAGAGACAAUUCCAACAACAUGGUCUACUUAAAGAUGAACAGCCUGCAGACUUCAGACAUGGCUGUGUAUUACUGUACCAGAGAUAUAGGGUAUGGUGGUAGUGACUGGGUUAUGGAUUACUGGGGACAAGGGACGAUGGUCACAGUGACUUCUGCUUCUCCAACUGCUCCCACUCUGUUUCCUCUGAUUUCGACAUGUGGAUCUGUGGAGUCGAGCCCAAUAAGCAUUGGCUGUCUGGCAACUGGCUUCACUCCCAGUUCUCUGCAGUUUUCUUGGGCUGAUGAUAAGAAAGAUUUGACCAAUUUUCGCCAGUUCCCAUCUGUCCGAGGAAAUGGAGAAACAUACAUGAUGAGCACCCAGCUCUCUGUCGAUACUGCAGAUUGGGGCCGUGGAGCAAAUUUUACAUGUAAGGCAAAACAUUCAGCUGGUAACCGCGAAAAAACUCUCAGAAAACCAGAUCAAACGCCACCAAUGCCACCCACAAUGUUCAUAGCAUCACCUUCCAAAGAUGAGAUUCAUAUAAACAGGACCGCUACAAUGGUGUGUGUGGCUAAGGGCUUUUACCCUAAAGCUCACACGUUUUCAUGGCUGAAGAAUGACAUCCCCGUAACAAGUGGCAUAAAUAAUUGUCCUGAAGCUCUCACACCAAAUUCUAAGUUGUACCACGCAAGCAGCAUGCUGACCGUUGCAUCCAGUGAGUGGACUCAAUAUAACAACAACUUCACCUGUGUAUUAGAAGUGAAUCGUCAUAAGUAUUCAGCAAGCAUCAGUAGUGAUCCAGGUUGUGGCCCAGUACAGAGUGUAUCUUUGGAAAUAAUCCCACCAUCUCCUGAAGACAUGUUUACUAGUAUGUCUAGAAGUGGAGACCUUUCGUGCAUUGCUUCAAACUUAAAUCCUGAGGACAGCAUCACUUUUGUCUGGAAAGAAAAUAAUGUUGAGGUGGUGCACAAUGAAACUGUUGAUCCAGUGCUGACAGAUUCAAUAUACACAGCCAAAUCUAAAUACACAAUUAGUUUUGAUCAAUGGAGCAGUCGCAAUAAGUAUGAAUGUAAAGUUAAAGAUCACAGUUAUAUUCCAUUUCCAAUAUCAAGAACAUAUACAAGAGAUAACGAUAAACCAUUCCGGAGUCCUAAAAUAGCCAUUUUUCCACCCCCUACAUAUGAGGCUGCUGCCACCACCACUACUACAGUGACCUUGACCUGCUUUGUGAAAGAUUUCUACCCUAAAGAAAUUUUUGUAGAGUGGAAUGACAAUGACUCACGUGUAGACAAAAGAGAUGUUGCCACCACUGACGUCAUUAAGCAUAACACAGAAAACAACUCCUAUUCUGUGUACAGUAAGCUGACUGUCAAUUCAGAUCACUGGAAUAAUGGCCAUUCUUAUUCAUGCAUUGUCUAUCAUGAAAGCAUGGGAAGUCAGUCAAGCACGUUGGUCAGAACCAUUGACAUUUCAUCGGGUAAACCAACUCUAGUAAAUGUCAACUUUGCACCUCCCAGCAACGCUAACACUUGUACUUAACUGUGUGUGUACUCUUUCUUGUCAUGCAUCAUUGUAAUGUAAAUGUAACCCAUGCUGUUUUUACCUUCUAACCAUGUGGUUGUCUUCUUGUUUCUUUAUAUGCAAUAAAUUCAGAUUUUAACAAAUGCA